rnacentral:rRNA from 1 species
GACGAACGCUGGCGGCGUGCCUAACACAUGCAAGUCGAACGGGGCUCUUUGGAUCGAGACUUCGGUCAAGUGAAUCUGAGCUUAGUGGCGGACGGGUGAGUAACGCGUGAGCAACCUGCCUUUCAGAGGGGGACAACAGUUGGAAACGACUGCUAAUACCGCAUAAGCGCACAGCUUCGCAUGAAGCAGUGUGAAAAACUCCGGUGGUACAAGAUGGACCCGCGUCUGAUUAGCUAGUUGGUGGGGUAACGGCUUACCAAGGCGACGAUCAGUAGCCGGUCUGAGAGGAUGAACGGCCACAUUGGAACUGAGACACGGUCCAG